rnacentral:hammerhead_ribozyme from 1 species
ACCCAGCUGACGAGUCCCAAACGGGACGAAACGCGUGUCCUGGAU